UAUUGACCUAGCUUGCAUUCUCCAACACACUCCAAUUCUUGAGAUGCUGACUCUUCAGCUUGGUAACACUGAGCAACUCGCUAGAGCAACAGGAGCCCAAGAAACAAUAGAAUAAUCAUUUGUGUGCGCGCACCUUAAGGUUGUCAACACUGAAUGUAGAAAGGUUGAUGAGGGAAUAUUCAAAAUUUUGAAGAUCCUGAGUACAUGUGGUAUACUUCGUGAGCAAAUAAGCAUCAAGGAUCCAUGUUCUAGUUCAGAUUAUUUCAGUUUCCAGAAGCCUCCACAUUCCUUCGAAUGUGGCCCCAGUUGCUGCAGCUCCCACCAUUGAUGACUCCUGAUGUCCGUGCUUUCUUGUGAUGUUGUCCUGAGCAAGUCUAUAACGGUGGUCCUGUGUUGUCCUUAUCCUUCCGUUAGUUUAGUGUUUUCUAUCUUUUGGUCUGCGUUGGAAAUUUCCUGUGUCAGUUGCUCGAUGCAACUCAGCAAACGAAUUCCAGCUCGUUGAACUAGUAGUGUGUCAUGGUCGGUCGGAAAAUUGCUAUGUUUGCUCUAUGAGAAAUGGAGAUUGGGCCAGAAAAUCGCUAUUUCUCCGUGUCUCUAUAAUCGGUAUCGCAAAUCGGAUUGGUGUGCCCUGUUUGACUGCAUGAGUUCCUAGUUUCCUACUGCAGGAGUCGUGCUUCAUUUAAUUUUAGCAGAAACUGUUUAGAUGGUGACCUUGUGUUCGUCCGUCUCAUCGUACCAUCCAGAAUUCUGGGCUGACCAUGUAAGCAUGGGAGGGGAACAGUUUGUUGGAGAAAGUAACACCCAUAACAGAACCAAAGGCUGGGAGUGAGCUAGUGACGUCUGUUUAACCAGAGCUCCGUGAAUGUAGCUCAGAGUUAUUUGUUGUUGUAAUUUGGUAAAAUACAAGAGAAAUGGAGCUUUAUUUUCCUGGGAGUUCUACUAGUUGCUCUUACCAUGGAUGUAAUAAAUAGUGCUGAGAUCAUAGGUUUAAUAAGUUCUACGUACGUAGUCUCUUCUGAGAUCAUGUUCAACGCAUGUGCUUUGCUGAUGUACAUUGGGUGUGCAGCCAAGAAUACUCUUCGUCAAGGUGCUGGGAAGUUUCUGAAUCAAGCUACGAUGGUGAUGAAUGUUCAGUUUUGGCUUGAUGUGUGGUCUCAUCACUCUACAGUGAAUCUUGGUCACGUGCCGAGACCCAGAUGGUGGUACAAUUGUUGUCUUGUCUCCUCAAGCUGAAGAAUGUCUAGCUCAACCUGAGACAGGAGACUGAAGCACACAAUUGAUCUGAUAUUGAAGCAUCCGGAGAGUAGCACUGGAAAUGAUUGACACAUGAGCACAAUCAAUGGUAAGAACUCAACAAUGAGCUCAUGCAACUGUAAAUUAAACUGUCAAACCUAUUUACUGUCAAAACUAUUUGUAAAUGAUAAUGGAUUAUAAGUUGUUUGGUUUGAAAAAUUAUUUAUAUCAGUGGCACGAAGCUUUCUUGAGCUUGCAGUUUGUUUAAGGAAGAUGACCAACAAAGACUAAAGGCGGAUGAAACAAAAAGGAAAAUUUAGGGAGAAGAAAACUUAAGCAGGCAAUGGAUGAUAGAUAGCACUAAAUAUAGAGAUUUAUUUAAACUAGAGCUGUAAACAUAGGGAGAAAGAAUUAGCUAGUACCUGCAUGAUGAGAAGAGACGGAGCUAGUUAGUAGAUGACGAAGUCCAGAGUAGGGCAGCUAGGGUGUGUGCUGACUGCUCUCUCUAGGGCUGCCUUGGUGGCCUCAAGAGAGUGAUCUUCAUUGAAGGAUUCACAUUCACACACGAUGGUUAUGAGGCUGCAGGAAAGGUUUUCGAUUCCAAAAUCAAAAGGACCACCACCACUUAUACCACCAGUACUGAAGAGAUACUCAUUCAUUGUUGGGCUGAAACAAAUCUUGAGCUUCUUUAGCUUGGGCAUGGAUCCUGCUUCAAACACCAUGUCUAUCCCUAACCCCCGCCACAUACUGUAACAAAAAUUACUCAAGCAUGGGAAACCCAUUUCACCACUGACAAUGAUCUUUCCUUCAGACAUCUCUUUUCCUACUAGUGUCAGAUUGAGCAGAGCGGGUAAACCUCCAAGGAUGCAGAGAUCUUCAUAGCUGACUCUCUCCACAUCAAACCGUAAUAAUUGAAGGUUGGAGAGGGAGCCCAUCCAAUCCGGAACCCGCAGGAAGGUUGACCUCCAAGUCUUAAGUCUUUGGAGGCCAAGUGGUGCAGGGCACCAUUCUUCCAUUAAUAAGCUGCAACUACAGUUCCAGAUAGUUAAAGAACUAAGAUUGUGUGUGCUUAGUUCACAGAGUGAAGAUGUGAUAGCUUUCAUGCACUCCUUUGUAUCUUCAGUGGCCUCUUGAUAAUCAUCAAAAUUGAUAUUCAGCUUCCUCAGAUUUUGUAGCUGGCCAAAUUCUUGAAGAAAUAUAAUUGGCUGCUUAAAGGCUCUGACCUGUUUCAGAGUCUCUAGUGAUUGCAUCUUCUUAAUUCCUCCAUUAGGGAAUUUAACAUACUCGCUAACAAAUAGGUGCACCAAUUUUCCUAGAUUAACUAUAGUUGAUGGUAACUCUGUUACACAUGUUCCUCUUAGGUCCAACAUCUCUAAAGAACAUAGAUGUCCUAUUUGUUCGGGGAGCUCACAAAUACCUGACCCGGAGAGGUUCAGGUACCUCAACUGGAAUAACCUCCCAAUGUUUUCAAGAUGAUCGCUUUGCAAAUGCCUGCAACCUCCAAAGUCUAGAACACGCAAAUGGUUGAACUCAUCCAGAGAUGAUAUUUCCCACAGCAGUCCAAAUACAAUAAGUGAUCGAGCAUGAGAAGAUACCAGGCUCAGCUCUUGGAUAGAAUUGCUUUCAUCUAUAUCUUGGAGGGAGAGUCGACGGACUUCGCGUCGUGUCUGAUCAAUGGUUGGACUAGGAUCACCAACCAAAGUAACAAAGUUCUCUUCGAUGGACUUGGAUAUGACGAAGUCCAUAACUGUGUCAUGAACUUGGCAACUUUUGACCUUACCAUACUCGUCUAUCUUCAUAGGCUGUAUCAAACUCCUACUCAUGAGCUCAUUAAAACACCUCUCUCCUAACUCAUGUACUGCAUAUCUUCCUUCUCCAUGAAAGAAUCCUUCAGCAGUCCACCUCCUUAUCAGGUCAUUCAUCUUUAUAGUUGAUCCUUUGGGGAAUAUGCUGAGAUAUAAGAGACAACAUUUCACACGAGGAUGAAGAUCUGAGUAACAAACCGACAGAACCUUCACCAUCCUUUCGACACUAUCACUUGUUUCAAGUGCAUGCUCAAUUGAAUCUUUCACACGAUUCCAUAGAUGCUCUGUUCUUUCUGUGUUAGCCAACAAACCAGAUACAACUAAGAUUGCCAAAGGUAAGCCAUCACAUUUUUCCAAUAUUUGGUCAGAAACUUCAAUGUCUGGAUGGCAGUUAUCUUCAGAGUUGAAUAAUCGUUCAUGAAAUAGUUUUCUGGAAUGCAUCUUAUCAAGAGGUCUUACAUGGUAAAUAUGGCCAUUGAAUGAUGACCGGCAUGAAUCGGCGACAUCUUCACAUUGGGUAGUGGUGAUUAUUACUCCACCGCAACUGGUCAUGGGGAAUGCAUGCUUGAUAAUAUCCCAUGUUUCUUUCUCCCAUAUACCGUCAACAACAAUUAAAUAGCUGCACAUUGAUUUAUGAGUGAUGUUACUGUGGAUUUAAUAUAUAUAAAGAGAAAACAGCAAAAUGAAAAAUACAGAAAAUGUC